GGACCUUUAGCUCAGGUGGUUAGAGCCUCCCGCUCAUAACGGGAUGGUCGUAGGUUCGAGUCCUACAAGGUCCA
rnacentral:tRNA from 1 species